CAGCCGCCGCGGUAAUGCGUAGGUGGCAAGCGUUGUCCGGAAUUAUUGGGCGUAAAGGGCUCGCAGGCGGUUUCUUAAGUCUGAUGUGAAAGCCCCCGGCUCAACCGGGGAGGGUCAUUGGAAACUGGGAAACUUGAGUGCAGAAGAGGAGAGUGGAAUUCCACGUGUAGCGGUGAAAUGCGUAGAGAUGUGGAGGAACACCAGUGGCGAAGGCGACUCUCUGGUCUGUAACUGACGCUGAGGAGCGAAAGCGUGGGGAGCGAACAGGAUUAGAUACCCCUGUAGUCCCUGUCUCUUAUAC
rnacentral:rRNA from 1 species